UACGUAGGGUGCAAGCGUUGUCCGGAAUUAUUGGGCGUAAAGAGCUCGUAGGCGGUUACUCAAGUCGGAUGUGAAAGCCCUCGGCUUAACUGAGGAAGUGCACCCGAAACUGAGUAGCUAGAGUACUAAAGAGGGUCGCGGAAUUCCCGGUGUAGAGGUGAAAUUCGUAGAUAUCGGGAGGAACACCGGUGGCGAAGGCGGCGACCUGGGUAGAUACUGACGCUGAGGCGCGAAAGCGUGGGGAGCAAACGGG
rnacentral:rRNA from 1 species